UUUUUUGUGAAAUGGAAAGUUUCUGUUGAUAUUAAGGUUUCUUCACUGAACCAUCAAUGCCAAUAAAGAAACAUUAUUUUGAAAAAUACUUCCAUUUUAGCACAACUUAUCACUAUAUGACUCCGUAUUUAAAUGCAAUGUACUAUGGACAAUUACUAUGGACAAUAAUGUUUCACAUUUUAUUAAACCUGAUCAACUUGUCAUUUUUUAUUUGAUCUUUAAUAAACUGUAUGUGCUCAACAUAAGAUAUGAGAUUUUUAUUUCAAUAAUCUCUAUCAAUUAAACCUAGUAAAUGAAUUAGGGUUAUUAAUAAGUCUGAAAUUAUCCAAGUUAAUAAACAAUAACAUAUAAAAAUAAUCAAAAUAAAAGCAAUUCAGUAUAAUAUUGGGGUAAAACAAACUGUAAACUGUGAAAUGUAGGAUAACUGAUUGUGAUCUCGGGUUCGUAGUGGCCUCUGGUGGUGAACUGGUGAAACUGCAUGUGUUGGGGCAUCUGGUUCGUUGUUUCUCUAGUUCAUCUAAAAAGUUAAUCUUCCUCCAAGCUUCUUUGCGACUAAGCAAGCGCAUCAAUGUUGAUCAUUUUGGAAGACAGGCAGGUAACGUUAGACGUGAUGUUCUAAUUUCAAGCUAAUGAGUCUUCAUCAGCUGCAACAACUCGAGUGAUAACUUGUCCAACUCCACGAGAGGCAUCCAGCUGCAGCCCCGCAGACUCACUUCUUGCUAGACACCAGUGGCUGGACACCAGUGGAUGGAUAGCAGACGUCAUUUCCGUAUCGUCAUUCACUUUUCAAAUUGAUGUAAUUUCCGUACCGUCGUUCACUUUUCAAUUUUGACGCGCCAUGCAGAUGUCAGCGGUGUGGUGAAUGUCAAAAAACUGCCCCAGGCUGUAAGAGACAUGUGUGUCCCUUUUAAAAUUGUACAAUGCAGAAAUUGCAGAUGUUUUUUCAAAGACUGGGUGGGGUACUGUGGAGACCUGCGAGGGUUUUAUACAGACCCUGAAUUUCCUGAGCAUUGCCCAGACUGCCAGUUUUAGGGGGCAGGAAUGAGGUGUGGUGUGCACAGUGUGCAAUAGUCUAUUUGGAACUGUUCAUGUUUUAUUUUCUCUUGAAAUAGGGCCUGACUGUGGCAUCUUCGUUCUGAUGGUCAGAUUUGACAAGUUUUACUAAUUAGAUUGUGUAAUUUCCAAUAAAUAUUGCAAAACCAUGAAGUGUUAAUUUGAUCUGGAUUGUUUGGUAAAUUGUCUGAUCAUGUGAAUCUACAUAUAUUUUCAAAACAGAAGUGGUUACAUUUACAAAAAAAAAAAAGAAUUGAAUAUCCAAAUGGGCAAGGCAAAAAACUGUGGUCAAUUAACAUGUACAAGUCUGAAGUAUUGACAAAACGUUAUAGUCCAUUUAUCUAGGCUGAAUUAAGGUCACAAAAAAUAGUGAUAUGAUCUGAACAAUAUAUAUUUUCAAGGUGGUUCUUGUGAAUGCAGUUUGCAUGAAUUAUUGAUUUUAUAAUAUUAAGUAUAUUAUUGAGAAUUGUUUAAUGUAAAGAGAUAUGAUAAAUAUCAUAUUUCAAUUUGCACACAGCUUUUAUAUUAUAUAUUUUAAGUCAUAAAAGUAAAAUGACAAUACGGAAAAGACGUAUGC